UUUAGAAAUGACGGAUUUCGAAAAUGAAAAGCCACUGAGAAAGAUAUCAGAGGCGUUUAAGGAGCUAGCUGCCACUGUAAACUCACAAUCUGCUGAUAUUGAAGUCGCUCCAUUCUCUCGAGCUUGCUCUCUCGUCUCUCCUCUUUUUGGCUGUUUGGGUAUCGCCUUCAAGUUCGCCGAGAUGGAUUAUGUUGCUAAGGUUCGUGAUCUUGCAGACGCAUCGAAAGUGAUUGUGACCUUGGAAGCCAUGCUGGAUAGGGACAUGGAACAGAAAACCGUGAGAAAAGCGGGUAGUCAUUCAAGAAAUCUUUUGAGGGUAAAGCGUGGGCUUGACAUGGUCAAGGUUCUCUUUGAGCAAAUUAUUGUUACAGAGGGGAAUUCUUUGAAGGACCCAGCUUCCAAGGCUUAUGCACAAGUAUUUGCUCCUCACCAUGGGUGGGCUAUUAGAAAAGCUGUUGCUGCAGGGAUGUAUGCCCUUCCUACAAAAGCACAACUUUUAAAUAAGCUGAAUGAAGAUGAGACCUCAGCCAGGAUUCAAAUGGAGUAUUAUAUUGCUGCAUCUGCACCAGUCAUUCUCUACA
rnacentral:misc_RNA from 1 species